UACGGAAGGCAGCAGUGGGGAAUUUUGGACAAUGGGCGAAAGCCUGAUCCAGCCAUGCCGCGUGCAGGAUGAAGGCCUUCGGGUUGUAAACUGCUUUUGUACGGAACGAAAAGCCUCUUUCUAAUAAAGAGGGGUCAUGACGGUACCGUAAGAAUAAGCACCGGCUAACUACGUGCCAGCAGCCGCGGUAAUACGUAGGGUGCAAGCGUUAAUCGGAAUUACUGGGCGUAAAGCGUGCGCAGGCGGUUUUUUGUAAAGACAGAGGUGAAAUCCCCGGGCUCAACCUGGGAACUGCCUUUGUGACUGCAAGGCUGGAGUGCGGCAGAGGGGGAUGGAAUUCCGCGUGUAGCAGUGAAAUGCGUAGAUAUGCGGAGGAACACCGAUGGCGAAGGCAAUCCCCUGGGCCUGCACUGACGCUCAUGCACGAAAGCGUGGGGAGCAAACAGGGAUUAGGAUAACCCGGU
rnacentral:rRNA from 1 species